AUGCUUAGUUCGUGAAGGGGUUCAAGAAUAGCCUCACGAUGAUACGAUGUCGGCCAUCCUCGUUGCCUACACUAACCUCAUCAUAUGUUUAUGGAUUCCUCCUGAGUAUAAGCAUGCACUUUGUACUCCCCCAUGAUAGGGUGAAGCCGGUGUACAAGUCAUAAACGAUUGGAGCCACCACGGUGGAAGGCCUACGAAAGAGUGUUCAAAGCACUCUCACGCUUAUCAACUUAAUAAUCGUUUGGUUGAGGGUUUUAGGUCUCAUCACAUACAAAUAUUCAAUUUUAAUCUCUAUUAAAACAAUUUUGGUCCUAUUACAACUAUUGGUCCAUAUGAUUGAUUUAGUUGUAUAUAAUACUCCCACUAUGCUUAUAAAACGGUUUUUAAAGCAAGAGUAUAUGAUACUACUAA
rnacentral:lncRNA from 1 species